GACGAACGCUGGCGGCGUGCUUAACACAUGCAAGUCGGGCGAGAAACUUCGGUUUCUAGCGGCGGACGGGUGAGUAACACGUGGGCAACCUGCCUCACAAUGGGGGAUAGCCUUCCGAAAGGAAGAUUAAUACCGCAUAACACAAAGGAAACGCAUGUUUCUUUUGCCAAAGAAUUUCGUUGUGAGAUGGGCCCGCGGCGCAUUAGCUUGUUGGUGAGGUAACGGCUCACCAAGGCGACGAUGCGUAGCCGACCUGAGAGGGUGAUCGGCCACAUUGGAACUGAGACACGGUCCAGACUCCUACGGGAGGCAGCAGUGGGGAAUAUUGCACAAUGGAGGAAACUCUGAUGCAGCAACGCCGCGUGAGUGAUGAAGGUCUUCGGAUUGUAAAGCUCUGUCUUCUGGGACGAUAAUGACGGUACCAGAGGAGGAAGCCACGGCUAACUACGUGCCAGCCGCCGCGGUAA
rnacentral:rRNA from 1 species